UACAGAGGUCUCAAGCGUUGUUCGGAUUCAUUGGGCGUAAAGGGUGCGCAGGCGGCGAGGCAAGUCGGACGUGAAAUCUCGGGGCUUAACCCCGAAACUGCGUUCGAUACUGCUUUGCUUGAGGACUGGAGAGGAGACUGGAAUUCCUGGUGUAGCAGUGAAAUGCGUAGAGAUCGUGAGGAACACCAGAGGCGAAGGCGGCUACCUGGACAAUUGCUGACGCUCAGGCACGAAAGCGUGGGGAGCAAAAGGG
rnacentral:rRNA from 1 species